rnacentral:lncRNA from 1 species
CGCCUUGAGAGUCGACUUUCGUGCUUGAUCCAGAGUAGGAGUAGGACUAGGAGAGCAAUAAGGACGAUGCUGAGAGCAAGCCGUGCCUUGGUUUCACUGGAUUUGCAUGUUCCAUGAGCGAGAAAGCGUCAAGAGUACUCUUUUAGUCACUGCAAGCUCUCCACAUGGAUUUCCCACGAUUCCUUUUCACGGCUGGAGAGAGCACAUCCCCACGAUCAUUCUGAGUCCAAGAACAGGCGAUUUGGAGCCAGGAAUCAGGAGAUCAAGGCGACCCUAUCUCUGGUGGCGGCUAGGGUUAUGGACGACCUAGGGAUUGCGGCGGCGGCUGAACCACGUACCUUUUCACUGAUUGCAACGGUGGGAAGAUAGAUCCUCCGAAGGAGCACACGCCAGCAAAACUUCGUGGCAAUCCAACGGUUCACGAGCAAGAUCCAAACGUUCAAAUUUCGGAACAUGGUUCAAGUUGGGGGCUUUGGAGUCCACGGUUGCUGGAACUUCUUCCAAGGACACUAGCUGCACAGAACCUCAUCGGCAGCGUCCUUCCUUCCUCAUUCACUUGGGGUUCGGAGUUUUGGGGUCCGGAGAGCCAAGCUCCACCUAAGGAGGGGACAACUCGCUUGGCGCCGGUACGGCUGCUCGUUUGAAUAUGCAAAGGACACUAUUCUCCGACACGCACCGGGUCCUUCAAACUACGUGGCAGCACUUCCCUACCCUCCGAUUGUACACCUAGUCCCAAUCGGCAAAGGAACAACUUUCGACGGCACACUGAAGUCCCAAUUUGUACGGUACAGCUGUGUUGGCUGAUCCCUUUCUUGCCUUGGUUGUGGAUCCACCAUGAUCAAGGCACUCGGAGCAACGCCAUUUGAUGCAUGGGAUGUUUCGAGGGGCACGGCUCGUGUCAGAAGCUGCAUCAGGCUAGCUUGUUGGAGUACGGAAACGUAGCUUCAACCCGGAUCCGAAAGGAGCGGCUCGCCUUUGGUUGUGAUUCCAGAUGGAUAGCGCCAAGGGUACGGCUACACUGGUAUGAGGCCGUGGGACUGGCGUGGCGGCACUACACUUGCACGGCCUGAUGGGAGGCUGGAAACAGCAAUCCCAGUUGGAGGGGAUCAGUCACACAGCAGCGAGGAGAGGACUCCCAGGCAGCAGCAGCAUCACCAUUACCGGAGACGGCACACUCCUCCUCAGUUCACCGCACUGUGGGAUCCAGGACAGUACAUCUCCAGGGGCUUCUUAUAUCUCUGGAAAACUGUAGGCGUCAUACAGAUGGAGAUCAAGCAAGGGCGGUGUACCUUCACUGAUCUCACGAUCGACUCAAGUCCUUCACAUCUGUAGAUGCAACCACAUGGGAGAGAUGAGGCUGGGGACCAUGGAUAAGGCGCGAAGUUCACCACCACUACGGAUAGGGAGCACGCGUUUGCGGAGUGAGUGGCAUGGCUUUGGGCAGCACAGAACCGGACACUAGUUCCUUGAUCUGAUCUGCACAGAACCGAACCGCACUCUAGUUCUAGGGAUCCUCCCCUCUUCUCAACCCCCCCAUAUGCUCUUUGCCAGUUUCGAGCAUGUCGAAACUGGACCUCUAUGGUUUUUCAAGAGGAUAAAUAUGAAAAGCCCCCAUUGACAAAGUCGGACUAGAGGGAGAAAACCCUAAGUUUAGCGAGAAGAGGAGCGCCUUGAGAGUCGACUUUCGUGCUUGAUCCAGAGUAGGAGUAGGACUAGGAGAGCAAUAAGGACGAUGCUGAGAGCAAGCCGUGCCUUGGUUUCACUGGAUUUGCAUGUUCCAUGAGCGAGAAAGCGUCAAGAGUACUCUUUUAGUCACUGCGAGCUCUCCACAUGGAUUUCCCACGAUUCCUUUUCACGGCUGGAGAGAGCACAUCCCCACGAUCAUUCUGAGUCCAAGAACAGGCGAUUUGGAGCCAGGAAUCAGGAGAUCAAGGCGACCCUAUCUCUGGUGGCGGCUAGGGUUAUGGACGACCUGGGGAUUGCGGCGGCGGCUGAACCACGUACCUUUUCACUGAUCGCAACGGUGGGAAGAUAGAUCCUCCGAAGGAGCACACGCCAGCAAAACUUCGUGGCAAUCCAACGGUUCACGAGCAAGAUCCAAACGUUCAAAUUUCGGAACAUGGUUCAAGUUGGGGGCUUUGGAGUCCACGGUUGCUGGAACUUCUUCCAAGGACACUAGCUGCACAGAACCUCAUCGGCAGCGUCCUUCCUUCCUCAUUCACUUGGGGUUCGGAGUUUUGGGGUCCGGAGAGCCAAGCUCCACCUAAGGAGGGGACAACUCGCUUGGCGCCGUUACGGCUGCUCGUUUGAAUAUGCAAAGGACACUAUUCUCCGACACGCACCGGGUCCUUCAAACUACGUGGCAGCACUUCCCUACCCUCCGAUUGUACACCUAGUCCCAAUCGGCAAAGGAACAACUUUCGACGGCACACUGAAGUCCCAAUUUGUACGGUACAGCUGUGUUGGCUGAUCCCUUUCUUGCCUUGGUUGUGGAUCCACCAUGAUCAAGGCACUCGGAGCAACGCCAUUUGAUGUAUGGGAUGUUUCGAGGGGCACGGCUCGUGUCAGAAGCUGCAUCAGGCUAGCUUGUUGGAGUACGGAAACGUAGCUUCAACCCGGAUCCGAAAGGAGCGGCUCGCCUUUGGUUGUGAUUCCAGAUGGAUAGCGCCAAGGGUACGGCUACACUGGUAUGAGGCCGUGGGACUGGCGUGGCGGCACUACACUUGCACGGCCUGAUGGGAGGCUGGAAACAGCAAUCCCAGUUGGAGGGGAUCAGUCACACAGCAGUGAGGAGAGGACUCCCAGGCAGCAGCAGCAUCACCAUUACCGGAGACGGCACACUCCUCCUCAGUUCACCGCACUGUGGGAUCCAGGACAGUACAUCUCCAGGGGCUUCUUAUAUCUCUGGAAAACUGUAGGCGUCAUACAGAUGGAGAUCAAGCAAGGGCGGUGUACCUUCACUGAUCUCACGAUCGACUCAAGUCCUUCACAUCUGUAGAUGCAACCACAUGGGAGAGAUGAGGCUGAGGACCAUGGAUAAGGCGCGAAGUUCACCACCAGUACGGAUAGGGAGCACGCGUUUGCGGAGUGAGUGGCAUGGCUUUGGGCAGCACAGAACCGGACACUAGUUCCUUGAUCUGAUCUGCACAGAACCGAACCGCACUCUAGUUCUAGGGAUCCUCCCCUCUUCUCAACCCCCCCAUAUGCUCUUUGCCAGUUUCGAGCAUGUCGAAACUGGAC